UACGGAGGGUGCAAGCGUUAUCCGGAUUCACUGGGUUAAAGGGUGCGUAGGUGGGCAGGUAAGUCAGUGGUGAAAUCUCCGGGCUUAACCCGGGAAACUGCCGUUGAUACUAUCUGUCUUGAAUAUCCGUGGAGGUGGGCGGAAUAUGUCAUGUAGCGGUGAAAUGCUUAGAUAUGACAUAGAACACCAAUGCGAAGGCAGCCCGCUACACGGUUAUUGACACUGAGGCACGAAAGCGUGGGGAUCAAACAGG
rnacentral:rRNA from 1 species